UCGAAUUAUUUCAUUUCUUCGCAUAUUUCAAUGUACUGUAUCCUAGGAGGAAUUUAGUGAAAAUAUAAUUACAAAAAAAAUAAUUGAGACAAGGAAUAAAUAAGUAGAACUCCCAUCAUUCCGAUUUCAUAUCAAAUUGUUUUAACUGAUAAAUUAUAUCGUUUUUUCCUACUGAUCUAUAAUCUCCUUCGACCACCCCAGCAACACCAGAAUUCAUCGAAUCCUUGAAGAACACCUCGCCAGUUUUAAUGGAUCUACAAUCAACUUUACCAUUAGACCAUCCAGUUAUAAGCUGUGGAGUUCCUUGGCCCAUCAAGUCGUAGGAUUGCAUACCAAUUGCAAAAUUUUUGGACUUCAAAAAAGUGAUAUUGCUGGAAGUACCAUUCGUAUUCUUCCUCGAAUUUAAUAUGAAUAGCAUUGGGAGCAAAGCCAACUACCUAUCAGAUGCGACAGCUGCAGUUGAUAUAGCCCAGGAAGCAGCGCAAUCUCCUUGAUCCUG